AUUGUCUUCAGAAGUUUGAGGCAUUACAUUAAGAUCAAAAUACAAUCAUCAAGCUCUCCGCCUUUCUUGCCUGCUCUGCUCAGUGACGUAACAGUCUUUUGAACCGGAUCUUUCGAACCGAUUCUUUGAAACGAAGUCGAAAAGAACCUGUUCGCGUCACAAGCGUCGGAUUUCCAAGCACUGAGUGAGAGAGCAUAGCCAGCGACAGAUAUGGUGAAAAGGUGCGUUUUGGGUUGUUAUCCGCACAAUACAUUGUUCCCUUUCCCCAAACUACAGUGGUUGCGAGCCCGCUGGCUUGAAUUUUUGCAUUUUGAGGAAGGAGGAAUAUCGGAUAGCUCGCGUUUGUGUGCGAGCCAUUUCGCCCCAGCAUGCUUCACAAAUUUACAGCAGUACCAAAUGGGCUUCGCUGACUUUCUGAACCUGAUAGAUACGGCUAUCCCGACGAUAUACACCGUUGGUCCAACACCGAGUGUGAAGCCAAUGACACGAGAGGUGGGCUGCCAAUGUAAUGCUCCGGUUUUGAAGAGUGUGGCGGUCCAAGCAGUACUCACCCAAAAAAAGCCAAAACGGAGGAGUAAAGCAAUUCAAGUCAAACCGCUUGUGAGUAACUGUGCUAGUGUGUCCUGCUCUGAUGAAGACUUUCCAGUCAAAUCCGAAUCUUCAUUCACAUUAACACCAAUUAAAAGGCCACGAAUGGAGGAUUUCUC